UACGGGGGGGGCAAGCGUUGUUCGGAAUUACUGGGCGUAAAGGGCCAGUAGGCGGCCAACUAAGUCCGACGUGAAAUCCCAAGGCUUAACCUUGGAACUGCGUCGGAUACUGGAUGGCUUGAAUUCGGGAGAGGGAUGCAGAAUUCCAGGUGUAGCGGUGAAAUGCGUAGAUAUCUGGAGGAAUACCGGUGGCGAAGGCGGCAUCCUGGACCGACAUUGACGCUGAGCGGCGAAAGCUAGGGGAGCAAACGGG
rnacentral:rRNA from 1 species